ensembl:snoRNA U8 U8 small nucleolar RNA
UCCUCACAUGGCAUAAUUUUACUUGUUUCUCCCAUUGGAGGGCAGAUUAGAACACGAUGAUUAGGCCGGGGGCAGUGGCUCAUGCCUGUA